rnacentral:rRNA from 1 species
CUACGCCUCCUACGGGAGGCAGCAGUGGGGAAUAUUGCACAAUGGGCGCAAGCCUGAUGCAGCCAUGCCGCGUGUAUGAAGAAGGCCUUCGGGUUGUAAAGUACUUUCAGCAGUGAGGAAGGUGGGUAUGUUAAUAGCAUACUCAUUUGACGUUAGCUGCAGAAGAAGCACCGGCUAACUCCGUGCCAGCAGCCGCGGUAAUACGGAGGGUGCGAGCGUUAAUCGGAAUUACUGGGCGUAAAGCGCAUGCAGGUGGUUUGUUAAGUCAGAUGUGAAAGCCCGGGGCUCAACCUCGGAAUUGCAUUUGAAACUGGCAAACUAGAGUACUGUAGAGGGGGUAGAAUUUCAGGUGUAGCGGUGAAAUGCGUAGAGAUCUGAAGGAAUACCGGUGGCGAAGGCGGCCCCCUGGACAGAUACUGACACUCAGAUGCGAAAGCGUGGGGAGCAAACAGGAUUAGAUACCCUGGUAG